CUCGGGUACCUUAUUAUUUCUCCCUAUUAUAGUGUUUUCUCAAAGUUGUAAUCCCAUAUCGUAAUUAAUUCCUUAUAGUAUACUUGCUUUUGCUCCUGUCAUCAUAACGAACCUAUUUAACUCAUGACAUGUGUAAUGGUCAUUUGUACCCAUUUAAUCUCUUCUAGAGCUCUUCAUGAAUCUAUGCUCUAUUUGCUGAAGAGGGUUCAGUGCAGUGUCUUCAAAGGUCGGGAAAAAAAUGUUAUGAUGCAGAGGGGACAACAUCUUGAAGGGAGCAAUGUUUUGAUACUUGCUUUAUAGGAAUUCUCUUUCUUUGCCUAGAACUUGUGAUUUAUGGCUGAUGACUAUUCCAUCUUUGCAGGUGCUUCUCAAUUAUAGAUGGAAAACUUGCCAUGGAGGCACAUAGCUUGCUGAUUUUGUUUCUGGAUUGGCCCUUGAGAGGGAGACCGACGCAUACUUCAGCAUGUUUCAGGUGUGCGACCUCUAUUCCUUGUGUUUGUUUCCCUCGCUGAGCUUGGGCAUUGUACAUUUUGGUAAAUAUAGUUAGUUACUUUGUUUACUGGCAAUUGUGAAUAUUCAGAGCACAUACAUGCUUGGUUUACUUCAGUUAGUACCUGCCAUUCAGUAAUCAAGCCUGAAGAAAGUGUGCCUCCCUAUUUUGUGCACAUAAAUACUUAGCUUACUAUGACCAAAUUAAGUAAACUUAUACAAUAAGCUUCUUCAUUGUUUCACUUGUGGAAACUAAACUACUACUGUGUUAAAUUUAUUAUAGUCAUCUUUAAAGGAGUUGUGGUUGGUUGCCAUUGUGUUGAAGUAAUUUCUUGCUGAAGCACCGGUCUAAAUUUAUCAUUGGUUUCGCUGGUGCUUCAUGUAAGCGGGAUUACUAAUUGUUCCAUUGGUUUUGCUCUGGUGAGUUCUUCCCCAUAUACCUUUGAUGCUUUUGCCUCCAUACCUUCGAGCUAGUAUUUUUUUCAAGGGUUAUCAUGUUUUUGUGGUAGUGUGACUGGCUCAGAGUUUAUAAUCAUUUGUCUUCUUCAAUGAAUGUCUGUGCUAUGAUAUUCUGUAAGGCUAGGCACACACUAAGUUGGUUAAUGCUUUUGAUCUAGGUUGUUGGGAGAUAAUGAAACAAUAAUGUUUAUCUGCUCACAAUGCCUUAUAUUGAUUGCUCUGGACAGGUAUUUUAAUCGUAAGAGAUGUCUCCAAAAAGGCAAAAACAACAAUUCACUGUUGAUUUACUUUGCUACGAUUGCUCCCAUUAGAUUGUCCUUAAAUCAUGUGCAAAGCUGAAGUAUUGUUCGCUGACUGUCAGCCUGACAGAUCAGAUGGGAUGAUGAUGCAGAGUGUUAAAAGGCCUAAUGGGUUAUCUCCUUGGUAGAUGAAGCUUGUUGGAUUGAUUUCAGGCCAUUGAAAACAGAUGACACCAUGCCUCCCCCAGUUAAUGAACAUGUGUCGCUUCCAAGUAAUAAUGAAUUUUCUACUAUCUCUGCUCUGCCGAACUUUCUUUUCUUUUGCCAUUUUGGCUGGUAGUCUUUCAUAGAAUUUUGUGAUAUCUACCUGACUCCAGAAGGUCAUGCAACAUUAAGAAUUGCUGGGUUUGAAAAACACAGGAUGGAAUUGUUAAUUCAUUAUCUCUGUCUGAAGCAAGACAUUUUUGGUACACUGUUGAAUAGAGUUGAUGUAUCAGCAUGAGUAACAUUGCGACAUUCUAAGGGUUGGUGCUAAAAGCCAACCUAGAAACCAUUGUUUUCCCAAAAACUAUGUGGUUCAUAUGUUGACAUGAUUGUUUACUAGUAGGACAACCAGGAGGUAGUGCAAUAUCCUUAUUAGUUAUACUCAGGGAUGCAAAAUCUUCACCUGAUGAUUCCACCCCUUUUUACAUGACACUAGCUGCCGCAUGGUAAAAGGUGUCUCGCCGAUGCUCUUUAUGACACCCGCUGACAGAUUAAUGAGUGCACUCAUAGAGAACAUAACAAGGUAUUUUAGGAAGUGCUUGGACUAGGUUCAAAUUUUUGAAAGUUUUAGGCACGCUUUUUUUACAGUGUUGGUUUCAAGUUUUUCUUUCCGACACAGUUAGACUUUCUGAAAUACAGCCUUGAACUACACAUGAAACAAUAGUGUUUAUUUGGUCACCAGCAAGAUGAUGAUGUGAAACGAAUGACUUUGCGUCUUUCAGAGUUUCUACCAUUAAAUAGUUUCCCAUAACAGAAUAUUUGCUAAUAUUGGUAGCUAAAAAUGAGAUACUUAUGCUUGUUGAUGCAUUCCCUUUUUGUAGUAACAUCCAUGUGUCCAGCAUAUGUAGAAUAUUAGAUUUUUUUGGCUGUUUAUUGUAGUUCGUUCUCAAGGUUUGGAAAAUUCUUUAGCUAUAUUCCUUGUCUCAAGCGAGCAUGAGCAAUAUCUUCUUUAUGCCGCAUGCCGCCAAUUUUCUAUUUUAGAUGGUUGUGUAUUUUCUCUUCUAAAAAGGGAUAUGUAUUUUAUUAAUCUGACUAUAAUUUGUGGUAGGUACAUACUGAAGGAUGUUCUGAGGCUAGCACCUGGUUUAGAAGUUUUGCAAUUCACAACAAUACCUCAUAAUUUUGAUUUGAUGUCCAGAAUGUCAAUUGAAGAAUGAGCCUAUGAACUGCAUUGUAUUUUGUAAUAUAUCCUUAUAUAUGGUGCUUGUGGCGUUUUGUUUUUGCAAUUAUAAGUUUACGUUUAUGGGUAUUAUAGAGUCCUUUCUUUUUCCACAAGGGGCAGUAGCUGUGCCAUUCGAUUCGAAGGACAAAGAGUUGAUCACAAAGGGGUAGCACUUAGGAUAUAUACACAAGAGUAUAGAACCAAAUUAUAUGAUGUAAUUCACCACUAUUUCUAUUAACUUCUCAUGUACAAAUGUUCACGAGUUCAUGUAUUAAGUACAUUUUAUUGUGUCACUUGUGUUUACUCUUUUUAAUGCAAGUUUACAGCUACUCGGAGUUCCUAA
rnacentral:lncRNA from 1 species